GCCCUGAUGCAACUGAUACAGACAGAGGAAGUUAAGAAGUUGUUGUCCUCAUCAGAAUGAAAACAGAAUGGCUUUUCUAGACAUGUGUUAAGGGAGCAAAUCACACCAGUCUGAUCCAGCAAGAGAUUUAUACUUCUAUUGAUUCGGAGAGUAGCUGGAACAUGUCCUGUUUUUCCAGUGAAGGGACUUCAGGAUGUGCUUAGUGACCACGUCAAGACUGACUGGGAAUGAUUAACUGCUGUGAGGUGGAAGUCAUGGAGGCUUCCUGCUCCUUACCUCUCAGACUGUUUCACCCACGUGGGAAAAAAUACCCUCCUUUUUGGUUGGCCAAAAAUCAGAAAUCUUUUCUGCUCCCCAUGUGUUGUGUAUAAGUGUUCACCACCAAGGAGACCUACAGAAAUUAUGCUCUGAACUUGAACUUCUGUUAAGUGCCUAAUGUUAGAUGGAGUGAAGCUGGCUUCAUUUCUGCAAUUCACCCUUUUUCAUAAUGACAUUACCCAAUACCAAGAAGGUGUUGACUGGAAAGAUAUGUCAAGAAGUUUGUUGUCUCUGCAGCUCCAAGGCAAACAGUGAUAUUGGUAGCACAUUCAUAAUUCAACAUGGUUAAAUGCCAAGGGCCGAACAGAGAGCACCCUCCCGGCCAGUACGAGCAGAAUGACAUUCAUGGUUGAUUCAGCUCCUUGCAGCAAGCUGUGUAAUUGGAAAAGCCAAGGGAAAUGACCCCAGUCUCUGUGUCCUGCUGAUGUCAAAAUGCAUUGGUAUCACUCUGACAAGUGGCCAGUUUGGAGGCUUCCUCAGAAUAAGAGUCUGUGAAGAAAGGCGGGAGGCGUCAGAAAUACCUCUAGCACAGGUAGGGUGUGCAGUACAGGGCAGCUGAAUCUGUGCCUCGGUGUUGAAGAAGAUUGAGGAGAGCAGGCUCAGAAGAGGACAUCUGUUUAGCCUAAUUUGGUAUCUUAAUUACACUGCAUGAUAUGCACCAAUGUGCUUAAUGACACUUGUACUUAAUAAAUGUGUAGACACUGCUGUAAAGCUGAUCAGUGCAAUCAAUAGAAAUGGAUAGAAUUUUUGAAGAUGACACUGUAUUCAAACCAAAAAAAAAAAAAAAAAGAUCUGUAAUUUAUCUGGUCUGGGAGGAAGGGGAAAUUAUAA